rnacentral:rRNA from 1 species
CUACGGGCCGCUGCAGUGGGGAAUAUUGGACAAUGGGCGAAAGCCUGAUCCAGCAAUGCCGCGUGUGUGAAGAAGGCCUUAGGGUUGUAAAGCACUUUCAGCAGAGAAGAAAGAUCUGGGGUUAAUACCCCGGAUCCUGACGGUAUCUGCAGAAGAAGCACCGGCUAACUCCGUGCCAGCAGCCGCGGUAAUACGGAGGGUGCAAGCGUUAAUCGGAAUUACUGGGCGUAAAGCGCGCGUAGGUGGUUUGGUAAGUCGGGUGUGAAAGCCCCGGGCUCAACCUGGGAAUUGCAUCCGAAACUGCCUCACUAGAGUAUGGUAGAGGGAAGUGGAAUUCCACAUGUAGCGGUGAAAUGCAUAGAGAUGUGGAGGAACACCAAUGGCGAAGGCAACUUCCUGGACCAAUACUGACGCUAAGGCGUGAAAGCGUGGGGAGCAAACAGGAUUAGAUACCCCAGUAGUC